rnacentral:rRNA from 1 species
UACGAAGGGGGCUAGCGUUGCUCGGAAUUAUUGGGCGUAAAGAGCUCGUAGGCGGUGUGUCGCGUCGGCCGUGAAAACCUGCAGCUUAACUGUGGGCUUGCGGUCGAUACGGGCAUCACUGGAGUUCGGCAGGGGAGACUGGAAUUCCUGGUGUAGCGGUGAAAUGCGCAGAUAUCAGGAGGAACACCGGUGGCGAAGGCGGGUCUCUGGGCCGAUACUGACGCUGAGGAGCGAAAGCGUGGGGAGCGAACAGG